CCGGUCUCGAAACUCACUCCCAGCCUCGCCCCAACCCUAGCCGGGCCGCACCAGCAACAUGGCCAUGAAGGCCACCGCCAUGAGCACGGUCUCCACCACGAUGAGGUUUUUGCUCCGCGGUAGCGUCCGCAGAACCGUCUUGUUGAAGCCGUUGAGGAUGCCGUGGCUGUUAGUGCCUGGGAAGUCUCCAGGGGAGCCUCUUUCCCCACACACUAUUUCCCUUCUGGAUUCCUGUGGCCAGGUGUUCCCACAGCUGACAGCUCCCUUGGUCCCCUCAUUCAGAGGAGUCAGAGGACUCCGGUCUUCACCUUCACCUUGGACGUCGUCUCCUGGCUUCCAUUGCAGACUCUUCAGCUUCCAGUGCAGAUCUUUCAGCCUUCCAGUGUAGGCUUUUCAGCCUUCCACUGCAGACCCAUGGGCCUCCUGAUAGGGACUCAAAUGGGACGUUGCAAUGAGCUCCAGACCUUCAACUGAAUCCUUUGGUCUCCAGUGUGCAGACAGACCCUCUGCACUCUGCCUCAUCUGAUUCUGUGGAUGACACUGGCUACUGGGAUUCUCCCCUCCACUCCUUGCUGGACCACUCCCCUCUACUCACCUGAACCUGAGCAAUGCCCCAGGCCCAACCCAUGUGUCCCUUGUCCUGAGGCUUACUACACGGAGGCAGAGAUUUAAAAAAAAAAAAAAAAAGCAAAGACUCCCAAUCCUGCCCCAGAAAAUUCCAAACCAGGAUGGUUGUGCACCACUGACCUACAGUAACCUUUCUUCACCUGGAGCUCAUUAAAGGUUCAUGCAUAUCAACUACACCUCGAACAUCCAAUUAUAACACACAAGCCUGCUCACUCUAAGUGUACAAUCACCUUAAUAAACUUUGCUGCUCUUUCCUUA